ACGAUCUUAAUGAUGUUAAUAGUUCACGUAGAGAGUCCCUUCCACUGCCAAUCUCUAGGGCGUGUUUGAUAACGUUUUCCUGGAAGUUGGAACUUAUUACUACUCUUCAUGUUUCGUGUUUGAUAAAAAAAAUGAGAGUUUAAAUGGGAACUCCACGUACCGUUCAUCUUUCUAUUUCGCGUGUAAAAAAAGAUCCGACCAAAAGUUCGGAACUUAAAAUUGGAACUUCGUUUUGGAACUUCACCCCCGAACCCUACUUCUUCUUCUUCUUCUCUUUUCUUCGUUCCCAUCUGCCCAACUUCGGCCGCUGAGCACCCCUCUCUUCGCAGCACGCCACUAUCUGUGGCAGACCACUCUCUUCACACGUUGCCCUCGGUAGGGUUUACUCGGCUGUUCUUGAGCUCUGAUUCUUGCUAUUGAUUUUGAGAUUUUUCGCAACAGUCCAAUAGAUCAGAGCUCAGUUACAAAAAAAAUAGAGCUCAGUUACAAAAUAAUCAGAGCUUAGAGGAAGGUCACUUCUAUUCUCUGUCCUUUUUGCCCAUAAAGGAUUAUCCGUCGCCGAGGGAUAGUUCGUGUACUGUGCACUGCUAAUCCCAAGCAUAAGCAAAGGCAAGGGAUGUCUACCUUUGCUUAUGAAGGUCCUCUGCCUCCCCUCAUCUCUGAGAGUGCUAGUUCACAGCAAAAUUUAUCAU